GUCUUGUUGAUUAUAAUUUCAAGUYUGACCUGCCCAGUGAGGAGUUUAACGGCCGCGGUAUCUUGACCGUGCAAAGGUAGCAUAAUCAUUAGUUUUUUAAUUGAAAGCUUGAAUGAAAGGUUUGAUGAAAAGAGGACUGUCUCUGUGAUAAUUUAUUAGAAUUUUAUUUUUAAGUUAAAAAGCUUAAAUUUAGGUAGAAGACGAGAAGACCCUGUAGAGUUUUAUAUUUUAUAAGUAUUAGGGUUUUUGGGUUGUGAAAAUUUUAUUAUUUGUAGAAAUAUUUUAUUGGGGUGAUGAAAAAAUUAAAUAAACUUUUUUUGUAUAGACACAUUUAUGUAUGAGUACAUGAUCCCAAUAUAUGGAUUAUAAGAUAAAAUUACCUUAGGGAUAACAGCGUAAUUUUUUUUAGAGCUCUUAUCGAAAAAAAAGAUUGCGACCUCGAUGUUGGAUUAAAAUUAAAUAUUGGUGUAGAAGCUAAUAGGUUAGGUCUGUUCGACCUUUGAAAUUUUACAUGAUCUGAGUUUAAACCGGUGUGAG
rnacentral:rRNA from 1 species